GGGAGCCACUCCAGACCUUAGGAAGGUGCAGUACAGAGAGUUUCCAAGUCCAGAGAACAUUCUGUUCCCAGCCUUUGGUUUACAACCGAAUGUGCUUUACAUUUUGAAGACAAGCUAUAGCUUGUAAAUCGAAUGUGGAACUCAUCUGAAGCCUGAGCCAUCCAUCACUCGUUAUGUGGGAUGGUCUACAGACC